CCUGCCCACCCUUUGUGUACCUACCUCUGUUGCUUUGGCGGGCCGCGGUCCUCCGCGGCCGCCCCCCUCCCCGGGGGGGUGGCCAGCGCCCGCCAGAGGACCAUCAAACUCCAGUCAGUAAACGAUGCAGUCUGAAAAACAUUUAAUAAACUAAAACUUUCAACAACGGAUCUCUUGGUUCUGGCAUCGAUGAAGAACGCAGCGAAAUGCGAUAAGUAAUGUGAAUUGCAGAAUUCAGUGAAUCAUCGAAUCUUUGAACGCACAUUGCGCCCUUUGGUAUUCCGAAGGGCAUGCCUGUUCGAGCGUCAUUACAACCCUCAAGCUCUGCUUGGUAUUGGGCACCGUCCUUUGCGGGCGCGCCUCAAAGACCUCGGCGGUGGCGUCUUGCCUCAAGCGUAGUAGAACAUACAUCUCGCUUCGGAGCGCAGGGCGUCGCCCGCCGGACGAACCUUCUGAACUUUUCUCAAGGUUGACCUCGGAUCAGGUAGGGAUACCCGCUGAACUUAAGCAUAUCAAUAAGCGGAGGA
rnacentral:rRNA from 1 species